rnacentral:tRNA from 1 species
ACUCGCUUGGUGAAAUUGGUAAACACGAUGAAUUUAAAAUUCAUUCUUAUAAAAUUUAACAAGUUAUUGGUUCGAGUCCAAUAGUGAGUA